UACGGAGGAUCCGAAGCGUUAUCCGGAAUUCAUUGGGUUUAAAGGGUCCGGUAGGCGGCCCUGUAAGUUCAGGUGGUGAAAUCUCCCCGACCGUCAAACCGGGGGAAACUGCCAUUUGAUACUGCAAGGGCUUGAAUUAUUGGGAAGUAACUAGAAUAUGUAGUGUAGCGGUGAAAUGCUUAGAAGAUUACAUGGAAUACCGAGUUGCG
rnacentral:rRNA from 1 species